ACUGAGAACAAAUGGGAUAUUUUUUCCAUGAUGAGGGAAAAAACCCCAACCCUGAGAGAGAUUCAGUGAGGAUAGCGGGAGACGGAAAAGUUAGACCUCAGAGCACUUCUCUGCCAGCUCUUCUAUUCUUUUUUCAAGUCCCUUGUGGGCAAGGAUGUGGUCGUGGAACUAAAGAAUGACCUGAGAGUCUUGCCCUGUCGCCCAGGCUGGAUUACAGGCAUGCGCCACAACGCCUGGCUCAUUUUUUGUAUCU
rnacentral:lncRNA from 10 species